AUGACUGAAGGAGGAUAUUUGGCUCUUCAAUCAGUGCUAGCUCUAGUUUUACUUGUUGUUACUGCUGUUGCCGGCUCUGCACCUCUUUUGCUACUAACAUUCCUUAAAAAGAAAGGGAAAGAUCAAAAUGACAGCGGAUGGCUUUCAUAUCUAUCAUGCUUCUCCGGUGGUGUAUUUAUGGCAACUUGCUUUUUAGAUGUAAUGCCACAUGUUCAACAAACAUAUGGAGAAAUUCUGGAAACUUAUAACGUAGAAUUCCGGUUACCCAUGAAUCAAUUGUUCAUUUGUGUUGGAUUUUUCUUUGUAUAUUUGAUUGAAGAAAUCACUGCAAAGGUAUUUGGAUCAGGAGGUCAUGGACACUCACACGGGCCACCAAUACCUCUCACAGUAGACAUUAAAAAAGAAAAAGUUACCAGGUACGCUUUUACGAUUUUAAUAAUUUCCUCACUAAUCCAAGUCCCUUGUGGUUUCCAAGUAUCAAUUUCUCUAUCCUUUCACUAAUUUGCACGAUAAUACAACUUCUUAGCAUGGUGUGUGGUGUUUCUUCAGAGUUCAACUUAUUGAAAAUGGAUCUUCAUCUUCUCCAGAAACAUUGAUGAUUCCGAUCGACAGUCGAACAAGGCACAGGUUUGAAAAGUUACUAGUUUCUGGUUUUUGCAUGGGGUUUUAGUUGCUGAACUAAUUUUGUGUUUGCUAAUUCUAUUAAUAUUUGCUUUAACAAUCACUAUGCUAAAAUUGACUAGUAAUGUGCUUGUGGGCUCUAUUUUUGUAACUCACUAGGAAUUACAGGAAUUUCGAGUGGCCAUUUGGCUUUAAACUUAGACUAUUGUAAUGCUGAAAUUCCAACUGGAAGAAUCUGAAGACCUUUUUUUUGUGGACAUACUUGAACAUCUGGAAAUUCAAGUGUGAAAUUACUACCAAAUAGAUUCAGCUUGUUUCUUAGCUCCUAGCUUGAAGCCUGAAUUUUAAACAUUAAUUUCUUGAGUUUCAAAUGUUCACAGAAAAAAUGAGUAUCAGAGUAUUUCAGCUAGCAAUUAUUUAUUUGGAUUGUCAGCCAUGAGGAUGAUUUCAAAAGUUGUUAUAAUUUUUCAAAACUAUUACCAAAAAUUUUACUCACUCUAAAUUUUCACAGCACUGAAUGAAUAAGUAUUUUCAGUCUUCUCGACCUUACUUUUCAAAAUUUAAAUUUCAGUUUGGUUGUCGAGGAAACAGCGCCAUGGGUUGUUUCGGAUGAGAAAAGAAAUCUUCUCAAAUCACUUACAUUUGCCAUUGCAAUGUCUUUCCAUUCACUUCUAGAAGGAUUUGCACUCGGAGUUCAAGAUUCUGAUGCUGCCAUUUGGACAUUGUUCCUUUCUCUUCUUCUUCACAAGUCGAUUGAAGCAUUUUCAGUCGGAUUGCAAAUUUCAAGAGCUAAUACAGAGAAGAAAGGAAUUGUCAUGUGCACAAUUCUCGUCUAUGCACUUAUGACACCACUUGGAUCAGUUCUUGGAACCUUGCUACAGAACACCGGAGAUAAAUCAUUUGGAAAAGAUUGCACUAUUGUAUUUUUAGAAGCAAUGGCUGCUGGAACUUUCAUUUAUGUUACAUUCCUUGAAAUUCUUGCCGCAGAAAAAGAGAAUCGAUUCAAUUCGCUCAAGCAAUUGUUAUGUAUUGGUCUUGGUUUUAUGGUUAUUCUUGCUUUACAAUUUUUCUUUGGACAUGAAGGUCAUGGUCACGGACAUCCAGAUCAUGGUGUACCAUCACCAUCAGCACUCCCAUCACCUUCAUUUUCAUUCGCACCUGCUGUAUGA